UGCAGGGCUGCCUGCGCCGCAAGACGCUGCUCAAGUCGGGCCGCCGCCCGCCCGUGGCCACCUGGCAACGCUACUGGGUCCAGCUGUGGGCCGACAGUCUCGUCUACUUCAGCUGCAAAAAAAUCAAGUGCACGGAGCGGAGCGACUUCAAAUCAGAGCCGAGCAAGAUGCACACGAUCCGCCACUGGUCCGUGCACGUGGACGACGUGUCGUGGCUGAAGGACACCUUCAUCCUGCAGAACCCCGCCUCAGGUGACAUGUACAAAUUCCGCGCGUCUAGUCAGGGCAAGGCCGAGGAGUGGGUGAAGCAGCUGCACGACGCGGCCAUCGGACUGCGCGCGCAGCCCCUGCCGGCCAACCUCAUCAGCUUCGAAUGACACCGGGCGAGGGGUGCCCCUGCGAUCGGCGGUGCCGAAGAGGCGAGGGGUAUCCCCGCGGCCGGUGUUGCCGAACGGGCGAGGGGUACCCCCGAGGCUGGCGGUGCCGAAGAGGCGAGGGUUGCCCCCGAGGCCGGUGGUGCCGAAUUAGUGAGGGGUGCCCCCGAGGCUGGCGGUACCGAAGGAGCGAGGGGUGGCCCCGAAGCCGGCGGUGCCGAAGGAGCGAGGGGUGGCCCCGAGGCUGGCGGUGCCGAAGGAGCGAGGGGUGGCCCCGAGGCUGGUGGUGCCGAACGGGCGAGGGGUGUCCCCGAAGCCGGCGGUACCGAAGGGACGAGAGGCCCCCGAAGCCAGCGGUGCCGAAGGGUUCACAGCGGCGCCCGGGCCGUGGGCGGCGCCCCAGCGUGCCAGCGGCCUGGAGAGCGGCGCCUCUCUGGGGACGAAGGCGCCCCACGCCGGCCUGACGGACAGCGCAGCGCUCCGGGCGGCCAGCGGAUAAGAGCCUGAGGUCUCCCGCCAGACGUGCAGGAGCGCUGGACCGACGACAUGGAGGACAGGCCUGGGUGAUAGGUGCUCCCCGGAGGUGCUCGGCGCCCGGGACGCCCCGUGGAGGUGUGUAAGCAUCCCAUCCCGUCCUUGCGAAUGUUCGGGUGUCCCGUACUGUC